UACGAAGGGGGCGAGCGUUGUUCGGAAUCACUGGGCGUAAAGGGCGCGUAGGCGGCCCUCCUAGUCGCGUGUGAAAGCCCCGGGCUCAACCUGGGAACGGCGCGCGAAACGGGGGGGCUGGAGUUCGGGAGAGGAGCGUGGAAUUCCCAGUGUAGAGGUGAAAUGCGCAGAUAUCAGGAAGAACACCCGUGGCGAAAGCGGCUCUCUGGAACGGUACUGACGCUGAGACGCGAAAGCGUGGGGAGCGAACAGG
rnacentral:rRNA from 1 species